UUACGCCAUUUUUCAACGUAACAUAUUUGAAAUCAUUGAGAUAUUAAAAAAAUGUGUGCAAAUUACUUCCAACUAUUUCCGUUUUUUAAUUUUUAAUUGCGUGGCAGAAUAAACUGAUGACGACUUACGAGUAGAAGAAGAUUUUGAGGAAGUUCGGAUUGAAUAAGCUGUUAAAGGUGCAAAUCUAUAUUGGAAAAACCAAGUAUCAUAUCAAACAAAAUUAACUGUAAUUAUACGGGCAGCUGUAAUUGGCCACCACUUGCUUGGCCCUCAUUUACCAUCGGAUUCUUCGAAUCGUGACAUAUACAUAUUGACUGACUCCCCUGUCCUAUUAGAAGAAACACCAAUUCUGAAAAUCCGAUGCAAUUCCCUAUCUUGCUGUCGCUGCAACCGCAAUGAUUGUCAGCAUUCUUGUCAUUCUUGUACUAUUCAACAAAAGGGCCGGCGUGAGCCGUAAGUGCGUAUAUCGCAGUCUUCACAAUAGUCGCAUAAGUUACUGCAUUCCGAUGAGCUGCAAAGAACAAUAGGCUGUAGGACAACAUCAAUGGAUUCGAGGAGAAGCGUGGCCAAAUACAAUAUAUAAACUCAUUUGUUUAAAUAGGUUUAUUUGAUUACAAGAGGCUGUAGAUUCCACGGCGCAAAUUAAAGGAGCCACAAAAAAUGAUUGAAAAACCCGUUGUCUGGAGGAGCUGCGCGCUUAAAUGUCAUUCUUUAUCAGUUUAUGCGACAUCUCUCAAUCGGAAGAUGGUAUUUUUAUACCAGUAAUUGUCGUUGA